rnacentral:rRNA from 1 species
GACGAACCUUGCGAACGUUGUUCGGAAUCACUGGGCUUAAAGGGCGCGUAGGCGGGCUGACAAGUCUGGGGUGAAAUCCCGCGGCUCAACCGUGGAACUGCCUUAGAUACUGUCGGCCUCGAGGGAGGUAGGGGCGUGCGGAACUGUAGGUGGAGCGGUGAAAUGCGUUGAUAUCUACAGGAACUCCGGUGGCGAAAGCGGCGCGCUGGACCUCUUCUGACGCUGAGGCGCGAAAGCUAGGGGAGCAAACGGG